UCCUCUGUUAUGGAGUCUCAUAAGUCUCCUUUUGUGUAUAAAAGACACCGAGACAUUGGAACAUAUAAUAUGAGGGUGUUCUGUCAUAUGUGAUUAGGCGGUGUUGACCCUAUGCAAAUUUUACGAAUUGGCUUGACCUUGUGCAGUGGUUACCUGGAAGAUUCGGUUAAUAUCCUAUCUGGUCCUCUUUAUUUGAUUCAGCAUGGGUAACGAGAGCUGUGCACCAAGAGGUCUUACAGCAACUGGGGUUAUUAUAAAAAUGCAUUGGCAAGAAUAUUCAGUCGCUACCCUGGAUAUGGUCACUUGUCCUAAGAGAUCAGGAGAUACUACUGUGUGUCAAAUGUGAUGAAAAGUGGGAUUUUUUAAGAAUGAACAGGGAUUCCCCGAAGAUCGUUCGACUGAUGUCUUGGCAAAGAUAACUAAGAUCAGCUUGUGUGUGUGAGUACCUGUGAUGAAUGUUGACUUUGUUAUCUAACUUAAAAUUGAGUUUUGAGUUUGUAUUUUAUGCGGGAAUCGUGAGAUAUAUUCUUUUGAACGUCUUUGUUUAGCCCAGGCUGAAGAAUUGAAAAGCAUUUAUGCGGGAAUCGUGAGAUAUAUUCUUUUGAAUGUCUUUGUUUAGCCCAGACUUGAAGAAUUAGAAAAAAAAAUAAAGCGGGGUGUAGGGUAGGAAGAGGGUAGCGGGGGGAGGGGCAGUGCAGGUGAAAAAAAAAAAAUCCUUGAAAACCGAAAUUUUGCUGUGACGAAGGUGGGCACCGCGGUCAGCCUAAUGUCCUGACGUUGCCCAGGUCCGAUAAAAGUAUCAAGACAUGAAUGGCGAUUUAUGUUAAUAUCUCAAUUUUGGUUUUUUGUAUUUUCAUGUUCCAAAAAAAAACCCAUGUAAGAGGGCAUACUACGCCAAGAUAAAUAAAUGUCAUAUUACUCCCUGAUAAAAUUAUCAUUCUGUCAUAGUCUUCCACUAGUUACUGCAGUUUCUCUUCACCAUCCGGGAAAAAAAUUGUGGAAUAGCGUCAAUCACAUUCUGUCAUAGUCUUCCACUAGUUCUGCCGUUUUUCUACACCA